GAGGGUAUAGCUCAGUGGUAGAGUGAGUGCUUAGAAUGCACAAAGUCCUGGGUUCAAUCCCCAGUAACUCUA
rnacentral:tRNA from 1 species